CGGUUAGUUCACCGCUCGCUACUUUGACAGGAGUGAGUGCUUAAGUCUGUGGGCCACUGUUUUUGGUCAACACAGGACUUGAGACGUUUACCAAUAUCGCUUCAAAGUGGGCAUAUUUGCAAAUGAGGACGUGAGACAGAAUAUUGUUUGUGCAUGAUGCAGUGAACCAGACGUAUCCAGGGCAACACCAAUGGCUAAUAAGCUCUCAUUCACGUUUCAUGUACGUAAUGUCACGAAGCAAACCCAAGCUUGUGUUGAACAGUCAGUGUAAUAUCAAAUCUGCGCAAAGGGGCACAUACAUAAGAAUCACAUUUCACAUAAUAACAACUUGAAAACCAAGUGAGAUUCAUUCAUAUGGCACAUGAUGAAAGAAAAAAAAAGGAGUGUCACCAUUUCUUCUCAGAUUCUCGCUGCUGGAGAUGUAUGGAAAACACAGAAGGACUAUGAGGCUUGAGAUAUCUCCCUUUUAUUUUGUUUUUAGUCAACACUGUUUUGUACAAAGAGACAGAAGAAUAUAUCUUAGCACUUAUUUUCACACUGUGUCUGUAUUCUCAAUAGCUUAAGUAUUGUGAAAUGUCUCAUUAAAUUAUUAUUGUAGUCUUAACACAUGUAAUCUCUCUAUACAAAAACA
ensembl:lncRNA